CAAAGUUCGAUAAUAAAGUGGUCAUAUUAAUUGUAAGUUUGUUAAGUAAAAAUUGGGAAGUUUAAAGAAUGAUAAAACUCCUUUCCCAGAUAAUAUUUACCCAAUGAAAUUGAAAGAAGUUAAGGAUUGGAUAUGUGAGCUAUUUGCUACCAUUUUUCUAAGUUCUUGAAUAGUGUGCAGUUGCCAGAUGACUGUAAAUUGACUAAUAAUAUUACUCCUCUUUUUAAGGGAGGUGAUAAAAUUGUCCUAGUAAUUAUAGGCCUAUUAUUAGUUUUACAUCUGUAGUUAGAAAAGUUUAUGAAAGUUUGAUAAAAGGUGCUUUAGAAAGUCAUUCAACAAAGUUUAAAAUUUAGUUGGAUAGUUAGUAUGUUUUUUCUAAGGAAAUUUAACUUUACAAACCUUUUGACAUUUGAAAAGGUUACUGCUUAUGUAGAUGAGGGUACGAGUGUGGAUUUAGUGAUAUCUGUGUUUUCAGAAAGCAUUUGACAAGGUGCCACAUGAAAGGCUUGUUAAAACGUUAUCACUGUGUGUAUGGCAGAUAGGUUGGCUCAUUGGAUUGAAAACUUGCUACAUGGAAGAAAGCAGAGGGUUGUUAUAAAUGUCAAAUUGGAUUAAUGACAAGAGUGGAGUACCUCAAGACUGACUGUUAGGACCUUUGCUCUUUUUAGUUUACAUCAAUGACAUAAAUGAAAAAAUGGUCAAUAGAUUACUUAAAUUUGCUGAUGACAUUAACAUUUGGGGUGUUACUGACUGUGAGAAUGCUACUGCUGCUUUACAAAAAGAUUUGAAUUAUUUGGCCAACCCAUCUACUGAGGUUGCUCCACACCUACGGCAUAAUCCAGUCUGGGAAAUGGCCACCAAGGAAAGCAAGCUAAUAAAUUGGAUGAAAUCACACAUUUCUUCCAUGAGUACAGGUAGUCAUAUUUGUCAAACUACACUGUACCUGUAGACAUUUUGAAGGUCGUCAUUUUUACAUUUCCUCUAAUACUUCACUAACAAAGCUGGUAUGAGGUACACAAGAUUUUAGUUUCAGUAAAAGGAACUUGUGUUUCUUCCUGUGCUUGUAAACAUUGAUUGUUAUGAACUUGAGCUCUAGUACUAUCUAUUUCAACUUUUGUAAUUCAAAUAUGAAGCUGCUUAAUAGCAUAUUUGUAUUAUUGAUUAAAUAAUUUUCUUAUAA